rnacentral:snRNA from 1 species
UAAAAGGGCGCUCGUCCUGGCACGUUCCCGAUCACGGAACUCAAGUGCAGACGCAUUGCGCCGCAGGAGCGUCUCCUUCGCUCCGCUCCUGGAUUUCCAGUGGUGGGCGGGGGCGAGCGUUCCAUUGCCGCCUUCGACGCCUCCUUGCGCGCCCAGUGGGGUAUGGCUUUGCAUAUCCAGUGCGUAAUUUUUUGCUUCUGGGGCCGCGGCUGCACAUUGCGGAUUGCUCGGGGAUUCCCCGAAUCUCCUUGCGUGCCCGUGCGCUGCGCCCCG